ACAUCCGGGCUUCCGCGUAGUCCGGGCGCCCUGGCCUCUGCACCGUCCUAGAAACCUGUCUUACGUCGAGGAACCCGGGGGACAGAGGCGCGCCAGUGCACGCCGGGGCCAGGGACGAACGGCUCGCCAAUGCAAAGGAGGCCCCUCGGGGAGACGGCAGGCAGCAAAAGGCUUCCUUGGCCGGGGGUCUGGGCGUUUGGGGAGGGGAGGUGCUCAGAGAUAGGGCCGAGGAUGGAGCUCCCAGGUGGGUUGGAGGCGGGGGUGGCUGGGCUCGAGGACGCUGUUGGAGUCCGGGGUCUGGAAGAGGCGAUCCCCGGGAAAGCCAGCUUCAGAGCCGGGAAGGGUCGGCAGGGGACCUACUGCAAGAGCCCCCAGGUUGGGGUAGGGAGGGGGCCCAGACCUGGGCCGGGAGGGAUGCUGAAUCCCCCGACCUAGCUCUGGGGCUUUGCAAACCAGCAUCACUGCAGCAUUUUGUGGCUCAAGGAAUGGGGCAGGGCGGCCAGACCAGCUGUGGCUGGUGCGUGCGUGAGGCCCUGAGGGAUGCGGCCAAUGCUAUUUUGCUGUUUUGUACUUACUCAGUUUCAUUUUGGCUCUGUCGCCACUAGGCGAAAGAAAUCGAAGUGCUAACAUACCACGGGGAGCAAUGAUUAUUACUCAAUGUGGCCCCGCCCCAGCAGCGGGAGGUGGCAUCUGUUUGACCUUGGAGACUUGGACGGUAUUUAGGGAGAUUACAUGAAAAAAAGACUCACCCCACAAUGCUUGCAGUCAGCUACAAGCUGCCUUGUCCUUCAUACCUUUUAGCCUUUAUUUCCUGAGUCUAUCUUGUCUGUUUCUAAUGUAGUCUCCUGAUUUAGGGCAAGAGAAUAUUUCUCACUCUUGGUCUGCCCACUACCCACAAUCCUUGUCCGAGGAUUUACUCGGCAAACUUAGCAGGCAAAACCCCUUGUCAACUUAACACUAAAAAAUACCGUCUCUUGGAAGGCAGUCUGCUUUGAUAAACCUAAUGGAAUAAAAAGUGAGUUUGCUAUCUGGCUUUAAAGAACAUAACCCAGCUGGGCAUGGUGGCUCACACCUGUAAUCCCAACACUUUGGGAGACCGAGGCAGGAGGAUCGCUUAAGCCCAGGCGUUCAAGACCAGCCUGGGCAACAUAGUAUAGUAAAACCCAGUCUCUACAAAAAGAAUUUAAAAAUUAGCCAGGCCAGAUAGCCCAGCUACUUGGGACGCUGAAACAGGAUUGCUUUGAGUCCAGCAGGUGGAGGCUGCAGUGAGCUAUGACUGCACCACUGCACUCCAGCCUGGUCAACAGAGCGAGAUCCUGUCUCAAAACAAAACAAAAAAACUGACAACCAAUGAAACCUCAUCUCUAAAAUCUGGCUUCAGGUUAAGUGAGUAAAAAGAGGCUUUCUUGUGGCCAGGCACGGUGGCUUAUGCCUGGUAAUCCCAGCACUUUGGGAGGCCAAGGCGGGCGGAUCACGAGGUCAGGAGUUCAAGACCAGCCUGGCCAACAUAGUGAAACCCUGUUUCUACUAAAAAUACAAAAAAAUUAGCCAGGCAUGGUGGUGGAUGCCUGUAAUCCCAGCUACUCGGGAGGCUGAGGCAGGAGAAUCAACGUGAACCCAGGAGGCGGAGGUUGCAGUGAGCUGGUAUCACGCCAUUGCACUCCAACCCCGGGCAAUAGUGCGAGACUCCGUCUCAAAAAAAAAAAAGGCUUUCAUUUAUCUUCUCAGCUCCUACAAGCCAAUGAGUGGUAGGGUAAUUUGCCGACCACAGUGGGAAGAACUAAUUUAACACCAAGAUUGUGAUUCCCCUAGUGUAGAUCCAGUAUGAAAGAAGUGUCUCAGGCAUGCUUCUGGUUCCUGAGUUAACUCUAGUGAAUAAGGUGGGCUGUGCUGUCUCCCCACCUCCCCCAGGCAUAGGGGCAGAACAGCUGCAGACCACCAGGACCCAGUGGGCCAAGUGAGGAUGUGAGUCAAAGCCAGUGCUUAUUAAACCACCUAAUACUGUACUUUUCCCAUCCAGGGGAGGCAGGAGAGGAUUGAGGAGGCAAAUCCCCGAGCCCAGAAGACUCCAGUCAGAAAACAAGAUGGUCCCCAUGGGUAGUGGCCAAUCCCUCUGGCCUUUCAGAGCAGUGGCUUUGGCCUUGUCCGCUUAGGUAACAGGCUCUGCUGCUGGUAGUUGCUUAAGAGCACAGAGUAGCCGGGCGUGAGCCACUGCGCCUGGCCGAGAAUGUCCUUUUUGUAAGGAGAAAUAUGAACAUUGGGAGUAAAAUGCCAACAGUGACUUUCAAGGUUCCACAACCCAUAGAGGAAUUUAUCUGCCAUAUCAAGGAGUGGGUCUGUAGCCAAUCACUGUAACGUUCUUUUCAAUUUUUGUGUUUGGGAUUCAAGUGCCCCAAUACCACCUAACUACCCUUUAAAUGGAAUUAAAUAUUCUAAUUCAAGAUAUCUGUUUUGGGACCACCAAAUUUCAACUAUCUAUAUUUAAAAUCACAAGGCCAGAGUCACAUCAGUGCUCAAAGGCAGCAAAAAUCCUAUUUCAAGCUCAACCAAAUUAGAAGAAUGGAUGGCAGUAGUUACCUCUAAGAAUGGCAAUUAAUGGGUGAUCAGGUAAUGGGCAUGCUGGGAAGAGUUUCUGAUAAACCAGGGGUCUGCAAACUACUGGCCAGAGGGUAAAUAUGUCAAGCAUUGUGGGCUGUAUACGGCCGCCUCACACUUUUGUAACGUGUGUGCACUGCCAAUUCAAAAAAUAAAAACCAGCUGGGCACAGUG